UACAAGCCUCAUCAAGCACCCCUAUUCAUUGAAGAACACCUCCAAACCUUUUUUUCCCGCCAAAAAAAAAAAAAUCCCGCCAAAAAUAAAUUUCCCGCCAAAAUUUUUUCUCGUAAAUUUUGUUUCCCAGCAAAAAAAAUGCUUUUAAAAAUCCUUGUAAAUUUUUUAAAAACUCUUUUAAAAAACCUUGUAAAGUUUUUUAAAAUCUUUGGUAAUUGCUAAAAACCCUUGUAAAUCAUUUUAAAACCUCUUAAAAUCUUUAUAAAGUCUUUAAAAACAUAGGUAAAUACUUUAAAACCCCUUUUUAAACCUUUGUAAAUCAUUUUAAAACUUUUUACAAUAGUUUUACAAGAUUUACAAUCGUUUUUUAAGCAUAAGUAAGUGGCAUUGAAUGAUUUACAAGGGAUUUUGAAAACUUAUAAAAGGGUAAAACAUGAUUUACAAUCGUUUUAAAGCAUAAGUAAGUGGCAUAAAAUGAUUUACAAGGGAUUUAAAAAAGGUUAGCAUGGUUUACAAUCGUUUUUUAAGCAUAAGUAAGUGGCAUUGAAUGAUUUACAAGGGAUUUUAAAAGCUUAUAAAAGGGUAAAACAUGAUUUACAAUCGUUUUUAAAGCAUAAGUAAGUGGCAUUGAAUGAUUUACAAGGGAUUUUAAAAGCUUAUAAAAGGGUAAAACAUGAUUUACAAUCGUUUUUAAAGCAUAAGUAAGUGGCAUUGAAUGAUUUACAAGGGAUUUUAAAAGCUUAUAAAAAGGUAAAACAUGAUUUAUCAUCGUUUUUAAAGCAUAAGUAAGUGGCAUAAAAUGAUUUACAAGGAUUUUUAAAAAGGGCUAGCAUGGUUUACAAUGUUUUUUUAAGCAUAAGUAAGUGGCAUUGGAAUGAUUUACAAGGGAUUUUAAAAGCUUAUAAAAGGGUAAAACAUGAUUUAUAGUAACGAAAACGACAUCGUUUAGAAUGGUUAACGGAGGUGUUAACGGGAGUUGAAUAAUCCGUUAACGACUAUUUUUUUUGGCCUGGUCAACGAAAUAUUCAUGGUUUAAAUGGUGGUCAACGAUAACAUCAUGUUUAAAAUGACCAUAUAUAAAGUUGACGUAUAAAACGGUUAUAAUUUGAAAAUUAGGGUAUUAAAUAACAUUUUUCUCGUUAUUAAAAAGCAAUAUAUCUCUGCAAAUGGACACACCAAAAAGCCAAACACAAUU
rnacentral:sRNA from 1 species